GGCAAGCUACGAGACAAGCGACUGUGCAGCGCUGGGAGAAAAAGAAAAGGAAACCUAGCCCCGCACGCUUCUUCGCCACUCUGCCAAUCCCCUCUUCGCUCGUCUCCUUCUCUCCCUGGUCCUGCGCCGCCGGCUCAGCCACCUCCUCUCCCGCUUCCCUCCUUCUAUCUCAGUCCUCGUCCAGAUCGGCGUCCAGCGCAGGAAGAUCGGGGUGGUCGUGGCGGCGGCAUCUUCAGCGGCGUCGCCGGACGAGCUCCACGCGCCGGGGAGAUAUCUCCAAGGUCCCGCGCCACCACGUCCCCUAGCCGACGUUGGCCUCACCACAAAAGACGUCUAGCCCGCCCGUGCCGCCGGUCAAUUUGUCUUUGGAGGUCUCGGAGCCUCCGGAGUCGCCGUCGCUGUACGGAGACGAGUCGGCGGGGGGAUGAUGGUGUUGGGGUCAGGAGGGGAAAGGCGUCGCCGAUGAUGAUGUGGAGGAGGACGAGGUCGACGCCCCUCUGCCCUGCCGUGAAUCGGUGGCGACUACAGCGUGGGCGUGGUGAAGCGGCGGGCGGCGUGCGCGUCAGUGCCCCCGCGCCCCGGCCGGUGCGGACUGUGACUGCGCGUAGGGUACCAGCAGCAGCUUGCUCAAGCCGCCGGGCGGACUGCCUGCCUGAUUGUGUCAAGUGCUAUAAUUGAUAAAUAUAUCGGAGAAACUGCGCUUUUAAUCAGAGAAAUGUUCGGCUAUGCACGCGAUCACCAAUUGUUAUUUCUAGCCAUGCAUUAUCUUCAUGGAUGAAAUCGAUGCAAUUGGUGAGAGAAGAUUUAGUGAGGGAACUAGUGAUGACCGUGAGAUCCAACGGACACUGAUGGGGCUUCUUAUUCGGUUAGAUGGAUUUCAUGAUCUUGGCAAGGUAAACUAACAUCAUCAAGUUUUUUUUUCCUUAGAUGCCUUUAUGCCAUAUAUGCAGAGGAAUGGAUUCAAUCGAAGUAAGUUGUUUGCCUGAAUGUGUGUGUGUGUGUGUGUAGAUUAAAUUUUUCGCUCAUCUUUGCUUCAUUGCUUCUAUGAAUUUUCUUGAUGCGGAUUUUCCUAACAUUUUAUUUAACUCCCUUUUCUAACAUUACACAUUUUUGCUCUCGGGGAAAGUAUAGGUGUUUUGACAUAAAUUUUGUUCAUAUUUUCUUCAGUGCUUCUAUGAAUUUUCUGGAUGCUGAUUCGUGUAACAUUUUAUUUAACUCUCUUUUCUAGCAUUAUACAUUUUUUAGAAGGAAAAAAAUUGAGGACUAUAGGUUCUGUUCUAUCUGAUUGUUGACAUGCUAACAUAAUUGCCUGAUUGUCUGAUAGGCUUAUGAUUUCUUUCUAACUGGGCUUGUUUUGUUUUAUUUUGGGAAAACCCCAUGAUUUUAUCCUAACCUGAUACAUCAUGAUCAGUGAUGUCGACAUGAAUUUUGCAGAUUAAAUUAGUGUGAUGGUACAAUUACCAACAUUCAUUGGAUGCCACAAUCAGGGGCGGACCUACAUUGAGCUACAUACACAACAUUGCACUCAGAAUUUAUGCUUCUCUUCAUGGUGACUCAGCUUUGAGUGCCUCCACGUUUGAAGAUGAUCUCACAGGAAACAUGAAUUGAAUGAUGAUAGUACAGAUCCAAAACAUUGAAUUGAAUUGAAUGAUGAUAGUACAGGAAACAGGAACGAUCGAUAUAUUGUUAAAAGAAUGAAAGUAUGCCCUGCCUGAAGAUUUUAGCUUUCUUUUUCUUAAGAAGGUAGAAGGUUUCUGCCUGUUAACAUCAAUAUAAUUUCUAUGAUCUGCUACCCUUGUAUGUUUUCUCUUUGGUUAGACAAGAAGCUAUUGACGUUGGUCAGUAGAUCUCUCUUAAGUUCCAGAUGUGGAUGAAAUGCUUCUUUCUAGAUGUUUAGUCCGUCAAGUAGUUUGAACUGAUUUGGCUCCCAAUCCGCUUUUAGCUCUAAUGAUUUGGAUUACUGGAUUUGGCCUGCUUUAUGGUCAUUGAUUAACAAGGUUUUCAGUUGUAUGUGCAUGUGUGGCAGAAAAAAAGCUGUUGAAGGGGCGCCUCCCACCUGGCACCGCCCAGCUUCCUCUUAAGCGGCGCCACCGGGUGGCGCCCCAACCACUAGUUCUCAUUCUGUCCCGCUCCAUCGGGCGACUCCCGGAAUCUCGCGUAAAACUAACUAGGAGUACGUGAUCAUGCGUUUGGAAAUGAAAAGAAGUGCGUGAUCGUGCGUUAGGAAAGUGAGCUAUGAUGCAUGGGCACUUUUGGAUAUAGUAGUAUAUUUUUUUUGUUCGACAAACCAGACCUCUCUGUGAUGAUCGGCCGUUCUGCUCGGAAAGCUAGCUGCACGGGUCUCGAAAUAUGCUGAAAUGGAAUUGAUGUGGCUCGCCAAACCAUGCCCGCCAACAAAGUUUACUCGCCAAAGCAUGCCUGGGACAGAAUAUAAUACUGAUCCAAAAGUAAUUAUUUUAUUCGCGGGGAGUGUUAGUACGAGUAGUAAACUGUGGAGUUUUGCUACUAAUUCAGUUGCUCGGAUCUAAUCCUUUUUCGUGUACGUUCGAGUGUUUUUAGAUUGAAUCUUUUGUUAUACGUUAAUCUUCA